UACAGAGGGGGCAAGCGUUGUUCGGAAUUACUGGGCGUAAAGGGCGCGUAGGCGGCCUUCUAAGUCGAACGUGAAAUCCCUGGGCUCAACCCAGGAACUGCGUCCGAGACUGAAAGGCUUGAAUCCGGGAGAGGGAUGUGGAAUUCCAGGUGUAGCGGUGAAAUGCGUAGAUAUCUGGAGGAACAUCGGUGGCGAAGGCGGCAACCUGGACCGGCACUGACGCUGAGGCGCGAAAGCCAGGGUAGCAAACGGG
rnacentral:rRNA from 1 species